ensembl:snRNA LOC120101104 U2 spliceosomal RNA
AUCUAUUAAGUUAUGAGCUAUCUAGUAAGUCUCUGUUUCUAAUUCUUUUCAGUUUAAUUUCUGAUAAGUCCACUAUCUGAGGACAAUAUAUUAAAUAGAUUUUUGGAAGUAGGAGUUGGAAUAGGAGCUUGCUCUGUCCACUCUGUGCAUCACAGUACCUCCAGGAAUGGUGCAUCCCCC